UUGGUGAUUGAUAGGAAAAAGGUAUCGAUCCGUAGAAAGGGAGGAGAGAAUUUCUGUCACACUGAAAUAUGUAUAAGUAUUAACUAACUCAUAACUCAUGUCUCGAGAAUCCCGGUGUUCAACCUUUAUAGUUCCCAUCGUGAUUGUUAUUUAUUAUUCCCCUAACCCCUUGCGAAUUUAGUUUCAGUCACACCAUAAUUUCAACCUUAGCUCAGAAUUCGACAAAACCUUAAUCUCUAUUCGAAUUUAUGCGUUUUUCAUUAAUUCUAGUGUGACUAGGUGGGAACAAACAAGUGUAGACCUAUAAAGCUGGUGAACGCUUGAGGUUACACAACAACCAACGCGUCUGAUGUAGAUUGUCUUUAUAACUAUAUAAGACAUCGGAGACGUUCGCAUUUCGUGCAAAUCUACCUUUCGACCUCUCUCGCACAUUUCUUGAAUUUUUUACGUUCACUGAAAUCACCACUGUUGCGCAUAUAACUAACCAUCCUAAGAGAAGAUACAGUGGUUCUCUAUCUACAAUUGCUUAAUUAAAGUUAACCGUUUCAUCAUUGUUGCAAGAUAAGAAAGAAUAAUCCCAGUACUAUAAUCUAUUCAUUGGUGGAAAUGGCGAACGAAUGAAUACUUUUGAUGUAGAAGUGGGAAAGUUAGACAAUUUGAAAAUCCACUUAGUGAUUGUUUUUAUGUCAUGUACAAACCUGAUCGAAGAAGAUUACACCUUUGACCAAUACGAUUACGCCGAGUAUUACACGAAGUCGAGAAAAGUUGAUAGCGAUGGAUAUGUCAAGAGAGAGUUGUGUGAUGUUACUUACAGAGUAUCCAAGUUUAUGAACAUUCAUCUCUAUGUUAAACAUAACAUUCAUCUUUGGGUACAGGAGACCAAUUUCAAUCAUUUAUUAAAACAAAUUACCUGCGAGAUUCUAAAAUUCGUUCACAUUCAUUCAAACAAAAUCCCACAUUUUUCCUAUCAAAUUAAUAAUAUUCAAUCAAGUUUUUUGAUUAUAAGUGAAAAAUUCAAAUGUUUAAGGGAUAUCACAAAAAUUGAGGGACAAAUUAAACAAUUCUUUUCCCCAUGUCCAACUCUAAAAAUAUAU